GGACUCUGCAGGCCUUUUCUUUGGUUCUUGGGAUCCCAGGGAGGAGCUUCUGCAUUUGGCUAGUGCUGCUGGCAGUCAGCAAACUGGGUGGAAGGCAGCUCUGCAGGCAGGUGGUCUGAGAGCACAGAAGGAUUUGACACCCGCCCUUGUGGUACUGCUUGCCUAACAGAUGGGCCGGCCCACAUUUCGUUUUGGAUGAAAUGUCUGCUCCAUCCACAGCCUGCAUGGAUAUUUGUGGCCUCUCCCGAUGGCAUCUCUAUGCAGAGUAGUCCUCUGUGCCUUUUAAUGUCACCUGUCCCCGUCCCCCUCAAGUUAACCCUGUGGAGUGCACAAUGGCAGCAUCACCGCCCUGCCGUUCUUGCAUCCUGGAGCAGAUGGCAGGAGGCAGCUUGGUGCAUGCCGUCAGCUGCUGCUCUCUUGAGUUGACGACAUGGCAGCGUGCAAAAUUUUGUUGGUCUCUCCCCCCCCCCAUCACUUCAUCUGUUCCACUGCUGCAUCCCACCCGUUUUAAUUACUGUAAUUGAGUUAUAAUGAACGAUUGCGCAGUGCCAUUGUCUGCAGUGGCAGGGGGAAUUUCUAUGCAUUCCACACUCCAUCUAACAAACACAUCCAGUUCUAUUUGCUGGGUUGAAGGUUGCUGACAUGCCGUAAUGGCAGAGCUAAAGGAAUCGCUGGCUGAGAUUCCUGCAUUGCCAGGGCUGGACUAGAUGACUGUUAGAUGAAGUGGUUCAGGUUAGGGGUAAAGGGUUAGGGAUUCAGGUUUCAAGCAAUUUUUAGUUUCGUGAAACUUUGUUCUGGCCCAUCCAUUGUGGGCUAUUGCAAAGCAGGCAUCUGAGCUGUGUUGUCCCCCAUUGUUAGAUUAUCUGCUAGGCUGUGCUUGGGUUUUUUAUAUGGGGACAUGGCACCAACUGACUUUCACAUUGGUCCCUGGUAGGAUGAGGAAUUUAGGAAGUCAAUAUGUUUCUAAAAACACCAGAUAUCAAAGGGAAAGAAAGAUCAAAGCAGAGAAGGUCGAAGCCAAAAAUAGAGCACCUUGAGCAAGAUGAAAGCGGGGGACAGGGCAGAUCUCCUCCUCCAAUGGUCUUCAGAAGAUAAAGGAACAGGCAAAUGGCCAGGCCCUGACAUUGCAGGAGGAUGAGGUGGGGGUCAGGGUGGCAAAGGAUGGAGAACCAGAAGGAGAACCUAGCUAGCAGGACCAGUGGUCUGGCAUUAUGGGGACUGAAGUCCAGAAACAGCUGGAGACCCAAGUUUGGGAAACCCUGUAACAGAUUCAAACACAUCAGUUUUCAUGGGGAAAUGGGAGCAAACUGAGCAUUACUGGAAUUGAAAUUAUGCAGGAUUUUAUACACAGGCUUCUCAAAAACGGAACAUCGUUCCAUACAAAUUCAAAACUAGCAUGUUGAGAAAAGGGGGGCUGUGUUCUGUGUGCAGGCCAGCAUAUAUGAAUCAUGAAAUUGUGGAGGGGGUUCCAAGGGUCAUCUAGUCCAACCUUCCUGCGAUGCAGGAAUCGCAGCUAAAGAUUCCCCAGCAGGAGGCCACCCACCCAACCUGCUUAAAAAUCUCCCAUGGCGGAGAGUCCAUUACUUUCCUAGGUGGUGCGUUCCACUGUCCAACAGCUGUGUGCAAAGAGUCCAGUUGGUCACCACCUCCUCUGCUGUUUGUGACAACCUGGCCCACGCACUGCAGAAAGUGGUUCUUAUCGCCACUACAGCCCCAUUUCUGCUCCGUCCCAUCAAUUUGGCCACUUGGGACACAUUGCUUGGGGACGCUCCUUCCCAGGUUUCCAUACCAUGGUGACACCAUAAAUCAUCUCACCCAUCCAGGGGGAAACAAUAAGCAACUGACACUUAACGUCACCAGCUUCCCCCCCCCCCCCCCAGGGAACUUGGCUGUUUUCCAGAGCAGGAAUGUAGAAUCAUAGAAUCAUAGAAUCAUAGAGUUGGAAGAGACCACAAGGGCCAUCGAGUCCAACCCCCUGCCAAGCAGGAAACACCAUCAGAGCACUCCUGACAUAUGGUUGUCAAGCCUCUGCUUAAAGACCUCCAAAGAAGGAGACUCCACCACACUCCUUGGCAGCAAAUUCCACUGUCGAACAGCUCUUACUGUCAGGAAGUUCUUCCUAAUGUUUAGGUGGAAUCUUCUUUCAAUGUGAGCAGCAGCCCACGAACCCUUCUGCUGAGGUGUGGAAAGGCCUUGCGGGAAGGGGGAAGGCACUGUUUGGAAAUCUACAGACACACACCCCACUGACUCCCUUUUCUCUGAAUCUGCUAUGGUGAUAGUUUAUGGAAAAACCCUAAAUAGAGGUCGAGUUGUCUUUGGAGGAGAAAGAGUGGAGAUUUUCCUGGUGUGUUGUAAUGUGUGUUUACAAAUGUCACAUUUUCAGCCAGAACAGAGCAGGUUGGACUAUUUAUUUAAUUCAUACAAUUUGCACACUUGAUUGUAAAGACGACAAUACAGUGGUACCUCUGGUUACGUACUUAAUUCGUUCCAGAGGUCCAUUCUUAACCUGAAACUGUUCUUAACCUGAAGCACCACUUUAGCUAAUGGGGCCUCCCGCUGCUGCUGCCGCCGCACGAUUUCUGUUCUCAUCCUGAAGCAAAGUUCUUAACCCGAGGUAAUAUUUCUGGGUUAGCGGAGUCUGUAACCUGAAGCAUAUGUAACCUGAGGUACCACUGUAAUUCAGAGUGGUUUGCAAAAAGGAUAAAGCGGUAAUGUUAUCAAGAAGAAGAAUUUGCAGUGAGAAUUUAAAGCGUUUGAAAAGUUAAAAUGAGCACACUAAUAAUGGAUUAAAACUCACAACAAUUUUCUAAAUAUCUGAGUAGGCAUGUCUAAACAAGAAUGUUUUUUAGCAGGUGCCGAAAAAAAUGAAAGCGCCUGCCUGGUGUCAAUUGGCAGGGAGUUCCAAAGUGUAGAUCCUACCACUCUAAAAGGCUGAGUUCUUACAAACGUGGAACAGAUAUUAUGUGGCACCUGUAACAGGGCCAGUUCCUCCAAUCAAAUCUGUCGAGUGAGCGUUAUAUAAGGCAUCUCAUAGGUAAACUGGUUCCAAGUUCUUACAACCCCCCAAAUGUGGUGUCACCCCACAUUUGACAGCUUUCCCACAUAGCUCCCAAACUCAUGCUGCUGAGUAGAAUUUAUUUUUAUUUUUAAAAAUCUUGCUACAGCUAUAAACUGUAAACUGGAUCCUUUACUUAACAACCUCAACCAUUACUAGCUGCAGCAGAAGCAAGGAGGAAAGAGGACGUGAAACAGAAACCAUAAACUUACAACUCAGGAGGGCUGCUUAGCUCUCUGGGCCAAGAUGCACAAACGCUUUCUUGGCUUUUUUCCUUUCAGUGCAGCGGGUAUGAAUUAAAGGCAGUUGCUUCUUCCAAAAACUCAGACCCUUCUUUUCUGUCUCCAGCUACAACCGAGCUGCAAAAUCUCUGCCUUACAGUUAUUUAUUUCAGGUAGGUAGCCGCGUUGGUCUGACACAGUC
rnacentral:lncRNA from 1 species